rnacentral:lncRNA from 1 species
GGUGGUGCGUUUCUUUUUUUGCUACGGCCCUCUGAAAGUACCCAAUUUUGAUGAUUUUUCCAUUUUUCAUCAAUUUUUACCCAUUUUUGGGCUAUAAUCGUGAAAAAAAAUCAUAGUUCCAAAAUUAAACUUUUUUUCAUACUCUCAAUAAAGAUGAAGGGGACCAAUCUGAAUAAAUUCAACUAAAAAAAACUAUAGGUAGAUGUUAAUAUAAGAAAG